AUAAUUUUUUUGGCAUACGUGAAAAGGAGGCAAAUGAAACAAAGGAGAUUUUGGGAAGAGAGCAGAGUUUGAGAGCAGGAACCCAAAAAGUUGUUGGAAUCACCAACCUUGAUUCAAACCUAAGAGAUAGGUAGGACUUCGGUCUAUUUGGUGGUCUCAAAUCUAUUUGGUGGGAUCGUUGGUCUAGUUAAGAGACUAGAGGUGGGUAUCAGAUCUAUUUGGUGGGAAUCUUCGGUUCAGGUGGGAGACCAGAGACCUUGGAAUAAAUCAGUAACGUACCUCUGAUAUCCAUAAAAACUUGAUGCCAAAGACAUCAUAGCAUAAAUUUCUGCACAAGAAAGGGAAAGAUAUGCAAGAUAGGGAGAGCUAUGCAUGGUAGGGGAACAUCAAGUGUCAAGCAAAAGCUUCCCAUCAAUGUGUUUUGUUAUCAUCAAAAUAUUAUGUCAAAUAGUAUAUUUAUCCAAGUUCCACAUCGGGUAGUAGGAAGAGAAUGUAAUUUGAGUAUUAAUAUAAAUAGAGAUAGUUAGUUUUACUUUUCUACACACAACAAAAUAUAGUCUUUUGAGUGUAUUGAGGUUUUGGGCAAUUGUAUGUUUAAAGAGAGUUUUUUAUUUUUUCGUU